CAAAAGGUAUUAUUGUAAUUAAGUUGAAGUACUAAAUUAUUGCUCAAUUUUGAGUAAGGGCACCAUUUGACUAAUUCUUUAACUUGGUUUCGUUUUGUCUUCUCUGAGUUUCCGUUACCUUGGGACUUAAUUCGGAUUUCUUUCUCUCUUGUUUUCGUUUUAAAAGUUUGAUCUAUAUUUUUUAUUCUUUUUUUAUAUUUCUACCGUCGAAACAAAUCUGAAAAGUAAAAUUUUUUUUUUACCAAAAGCUAGAAAAUUUUCAUUUACGACAAAAGUAAAUAAACUAAAAGAAUAAGUGAAGACAGCCCAAACACAAAAAUAAUUUAACUUGACAUUGUGUGGGGAUGGCGCUCAACUCGAGACUAGUAUAGGGCUCAUAAAGAAGGAAAGACUAUUGUUACCUCAACUUGAUCACCAACAUGGACGAAGAGCGCGUUUGGCAGGUAGUUGACAGCGACCCAGUUACCGUCUUUCCAGACCUGAAGGCCCGGAACAUCGUUUGGGACGAGCAGGGUAAGAGCGGACAUGUCCGUGUGGGGUUCGACUCCAAGGGCGAGUUCAGGCUGCGGGCAUGGUGGAUACAUGUUUAUUUUCAUUUCGUAUUCUAUUUCUUCGUCCCUCAAACAAUAC